AGUAAUGUGAAUUGCAGACACAUUGAACAUCGACAUUUCGAACGCAUAUUGCGGAAGUGGGGUUUUCCCACUUCCAGGUUCUCUGACGGCGUCAUUCAGUGAAAGCAUGUACUCAUGUCCGCUGAACGCGCUUUGUCAGCUGACCUGUCUGCGUGGCUUUGCGGUCGCUCUUGUUUAAGCUUAGCGGUUUAGUACCGUGUGGCCUUGUGUCUUGCGUUUGAAUGGGUUUAGUAAAUGCUUGCUGCGUGGCUCUGCGUUCAGUGCUCGAAUGGGCUCGGUUCACUAUUCGUUGUAUGGCCUUGAUGGGCUCAACAAUGGUGCACUGCACGGCUCUGCACGAUCAGCUGGCAUGGGCUCAGCUGGUAAUUGCUUCGUGGCUUUACGCAAGGCGCUCGAAUGGGCUCACCUGUGCUGUCUGCUGGCUUUGCGCGACUUGCUCGUACGGGCUCAGCAGGUUGUUUUGUCUGCGUGGCUCUGCGUCCUAUUUGAUUGGGCUCAGUAGCUUUGUUACUGCAUGGCUCGUAGGACCGCUUGAAUGGGCUCAGUAAUUCAAGUUGAUUCUGUCAGUGACAGUCGAGUUAUUGGGUUGCUGCAACAUUAGUUGCACCAACCUUGAGUGAAGGUAACCGGCCGCAUCUGUCGGUAUUAAUUGCAAAGGUACAUAUGCAUCCAGGCAAAAGUACUGCGUCUUGCUGUUAGCAUAAAACAGCCUCCGGUCGGAUCUACCGGUUGGUUCAAGGCGUAGCUACAUGUAUCGCUAGGAUGAUGUGCCCGCAAAAAGAUUUUACGCGUCAAGUAGAGCCUGACUACUCGCUUAAUUUAAGCAUAUUAGUAAGCGA
rnacentral:rRNA from 1 species